CGGAGGCUACCGCUAUUGGAGUUCGAUUAAGCCAUGCGAGUCGAGAGUCUUAGGGACUCGGCGUACCGCUCAGUAACACGUGGGUAACCUGCCCUAUGCUGGGGAAUAACCUCGGGAAACUGAGAAUAAUGCCCCAUAGUCCACCAUGCCUGGAACGGUUGGUGGAUCAAAGCUCCGGCGGCAUAGGAUGGGCCUGCGGCGUAUCAGGUUGUAGGGGGUGUAAUGUACCCUCUAGCCAUCAACGCGUACGGGUGUUGGGAGACAUAGCCCGGAGAUGGAUUCUGAGACACGAAUCCAGACCCUACGGGGGUGCAGCAGGCGCGAAAACUUGGCAAUGCGAGCAAUCGUGACCAGGGAACUCCAAGUGGCUGGGGUAAGACCCAGUCUUUUCUUGACUCUUCAACGGUCUUGGAAUAAGGGGUGGGUAAGGACGGUGCCAGCCGCCGCGGUAAUACCGGCGCCUCAAGUGGUAGUCGAUUUUAUUGGGCCUAAAACGUCCGUAGCCUGUUUGGUACAUUCGUGGGUAAAUCAACCAGCUCAACUGAUUGAAUUCUGCGAGCACGGCCAGACUUGGGACCGGGAGAGGUGCGGGGUACGCUCAGGGUAGGGGUAAAAUCCUGUCAUCCUGAGCGGACCACCUGUUGCGAAGGCGCCACACUAGAACGGAUCCGACGGUCAGGGACGAAGCCUAGGGGCACGAACCGGAUUAGAUACCCGGGUAGUCCUAGGUGUAAACGCUGUGGACUUGGUGUUGGGGAUUCUCCGAGGAUUCUCAGUGCCGAAGCGAAGGUGAUAAGUCCACUGCCUGGGGAGUACGGUCGCAAGGCUGAAACUUAAAGGAAUUGGCGGGG
rnacentral:rRNA from 1 species